rnacentral:rRNA from 1 species
AUUGAACGCUGGCGGCAUGCCUUACACAUGCAAGUCGAACGGUAACGCGGGGCAACCUGGCGACGAGUGGCGAACGGGUGAGUAAUGCAUCGGAACGUGCCCAGUAGUGGGGGAUAGCCCGGCGAAAGCCGGAUUAAUACCGCACACGACCUACGGGUGAAAGCGGGGGAACGUAAGGCCUCGCGCUAUUGGAUCGGCCGAUGUCAGAUUAGGUUGUUGGUGGGGUAAAAGCCUACCAAGCCGACGAUCUGUAGCUGGUCUGAGAGGACGACCAGCCACACUGGGACUGAGACACGGCCCAGACUCCUACGGGAGGCAGCAGUGGGGAAUUUUGGACAAUGGGGGCAACCCUGAUCCAGCCAUGCCGCGUGCGGGAAGAAGGCCUCCGGGUUGUAAACCGCUUUUGUCAGGGAAGAAACGCUCUGGGCUAAUACCCCGGGGUAAUGACGGUACCUGAAGAAUAAGCACCGGCUAACUACGUGCCAGCAGCCGCCGUAACAC